GAUGAAGAACGUAGCGAAAUGCGAUAAGUAAUGUGAAUUGCAGAAUUCAGUGAAUCAUCGAAUCUUUGAACGCACAUUGCGCCCGCCAGUAUUCUGGCGGGCAUGCCUGUUCGAGCGUCAUUUCAACCAUCAAGCCCCCCGGCUUGUGUUGGGGACCUGCGGCUGCCGCAGGCCCUGAAAAGCAGUGGCGGGCUCGCUGUCACACCGAGCGUAGUAGAUCUCAUCGCGCUCAGGGCGUGCUGCGGGUUCCGGCCGUUAAACCACCUUCAUAACCCAAGGUUGACCUCGGAUCAGGUAGGAAGACCCGCUGAACUUAAGCAUAUCAAUAAGCGGAGGA
rnacentral:misc_RNA from 1 species